AGAUUCCUGCUGUAUGCGACAGCCCUGCCUAAAAUACUCCGAUAACUGUAUCUAGGGAGUUUCGAUUCGGCGUAGGAUUGCAGACCUCCCCCCCUUGGGGAAGAAGGGAGCAUGAGGCCGCUGAGAGAGCGUACCCACUCUGUCAUACGACGGGGUUUACAGCCGGCAGGGCAUCGGUACAGCGGGGAUUUU
rnacentral:other from 2 species